UACGGAGGAUCCAAGCGUUAUCCGGAAUCAUUGGGUUUAAAGGGUCCGUAGGCGGUUUGGUAAGUCAGUGGUGAAAGCCCGGAGCUCAACUCCGGAACUGCCAUUGAAACUGUGAGACUUGAGUACGAGAGAGGUGAGUGGAAUUCCGAGUGUAGAGGUGAAAUUCGUAGAUAUUCGGAAGAACACCAGUGGCGAAGGCGACUUACUGGACACAUAUUGACGCUGAGGUGCGAAAGCGUGGGGAGCAAACAGG
rnacentral:rRNA from 1 species